rnacentral:rRNA from 1 species
GAUGAACGCUGGCGGCGUGCCUAAUACAUGCAAGUCGAGCGAACGGACGAGAAGCUUGCUUCUCUGAUGUUAGCGGCGGACGGGUGAGUAACACGUGGAUAACCUACCUAUAAGACUGGGAUAACUUCGGGAAACCGGAGCUAAUACCGGAUAAUAUUUUGAACCGCAUGGUUCAAAAGUGAAAGACGGUCUUGCUGUCACUUAUAGAUGGAUCCGCGCUGCAUUAGCUAGUUGGUAAGGUAACGGCUUACCGAGGCAACGAUGCAUAGCCGACCUGAGAGGGUGAUCGGCCACACUGGAACUGAGACACGGUCCAGACUCCUACGGGAGGCAGCAGUAGGGAAUCUUCCGCAAUGGGCGAAAGCCUGACGGAGCAACGCCGCGUGAGUGAUGAAGGUCUUCGGAUCGUAAAACUCUGUUAUUAGGGAAGAACAUAUGUGUAAGUAACUGUGCACAUCUUGACGGUACCUAAUCAGAAAGCCACGGCUGACUACGUG